UACGGAGGGUGCGAGCGUUGUCCGGAAUCACUGGGCGUAAAGGGCGCGUAGGCGGCUUCUCAAGCGUGUGGUGAAAGUCCGGGGCUCAACCUCGGAUCGGCCGUGGCGACUCGUGGGCUGGAGCACUGUAGAGGCGGGUGGAAUUUCGGGUGUAGCGGUGGAAUGCGUAGAGAUCCGGAAGAACACCAGUGGCGAAGGCGGCCCGCUGGGCAGUGGCUGACGCUGAGGCGCGACAGCGUGGGGAGCAAACAGG
rnacentral:rRNA from 1 species